rnacentral:rRNA from 1 species
AACGUAGGGCGCGAGCGUUGUCCGGAUUUAUUGGGCGUAAAGAGCUCGUAGGCGGCUCGUUGCGUCGGCUGUGAAAACCCACAGCUUAACUGUGGGCCUGCAGCCGAUACGGGCGAGCUGGAGUUCGGUAGGGGAGACUGGAAUUCCUGGUGUAGCGGUGAAAUGCGCAGAUAUCAGGAGGAACACCGGUGGCGAAGGCGACACGCUGGGCCGUACCUGACACUGAUGCGCGACAGCAUGGGGAGCAAACAGG